rnacentral:rRNA from 1 species
UACGUAGGCAGCAAGCGUUGUUCGGAGUUACUGGGCGUAAAGGGUGCGUAGGCGGUUGUUUAAGUUUGGUGUGAAAUCUCCCGGCUCAACUGGGAGGGUGCGCCGAAUACUGAAUGACUAGAGUGCGGGAGAGGAGAGUGGAAUUCCUGGUGUAGCGGUGAAAUGCGUAGAUAUCAGGAGGAACACCCGGGUGGCGAAGGCGGGGUCUCUGGGGCCGAUACUGACGCUGAGGAGCGAAAGCGUGGGGGAGCGAACAGG